UCUGGCAUCGAUGAAGAACGCAGCGAAAUGCGAUAAGUAAUGUGAAUUGCAGAAUUCAGUGAAUCAUCGAAUCUUUGAACGCACAUUGCGCCCUUUGGUAUUCCGAAGGGCAUGCCUGUUCGAGCGUCAUUUCACCACUCAAGCCUGGCUUGGUAUUA
rnacentral:rRNA from 1 species